AUCCAGCUGACGAGUCCAAACAAGACGAAACGCGCGUCCUGGAU
rfam:Schistosoma haematobium scaffold330_26, whole genome shotgun sequence.